GUUGUUAAAUAAUUUUUUCUGUGGUGAUCAUGUCGGGAAUCCGGUACUCGUCCCAGUACCGGAUCUUGUGAAUCCGCAACCCUCUCCGAUACCGACUGCUAUGGAUUCAGUAUCGAUUUUUGGGAUUCCGCAACGGAAGCGUCAAAUCGGAUUUUUACCAUAAACUCGUCUCCUCAGCAAAAACUGAUAUAAUCACAAAAAAGAGAAAAAACGAAAAUAGAAAUAUGCGAGUAAAAUAAGAUUAAUUAAAUAAGAGAAGAUUAUGCCCGACUCCUUCUUCUUCAACUGAGUAGCUACAACCCGAACCCUCCUUUUUGAAUCUCUCCUACCCUUCUCUCGUAUUCUAUAAACCCACAAAGAAUACAACUCUCUUUUUUUCUCUCUCAUAUGCACCCGUGCACUAGGUGCAUGCAACCGGCCAACUCUCUCUCUCCGGUACAACCCACCAAAGAGCUUCAAUUUUUUUGCUGUACUCACUCUCCAAAAGCACCCUACAUGGUACAAUAAAACGUACCCAAAUUCUAUUAUAUUUAGGAUUCCUACUCUAAUAAAUAUUUAAAUCUAUAUUUUGUUUAUCUCUAAUAGGUUUAAAUAUUUAUUCUAAUCUAGUUAGAUUUAUACUCUAAUUAAUAUUUAAAUAUUAAUUUAUCUCCAACAGAUUUGAAUAUUAAUUCUUAUCCAAUUAGAAUUAAUCUACAAAUCUAACCAAAUCCAAACAGAUUCAGUAA
rnacentral:lncRNA from 1 species